GAUGAACGCUGGCGGCGUGCUUAACACAUGCAAGUCGAACGAUGAAGCCCAGCUUGCUGGGUGGAUUAGUGGCGAACGGGUGAGUAACACGUGAGUAACCUGCCCUUAACUCUGGGAUAAGCCUGGGAAACUGGGUCUAAUACCGGAUAGGAGCGCCUACCGCAUGGGGGGUGUUGGAGAGAUUUAUCGGUUUUGGAUGGACUCGCGGCCUAUCAGCUUGUUGGUGAGGUAAUGGCUCACCAAGGCGACGACGGGUAGCCGGCCUGAGAGGGUGACCGGCCACACUGGGACUGAGACACGGCCCAGACUCCUACGGGAGGCAGCAGUGGGGAAUAUUGCACAAUGGGCGAAAGCCUGAUGCAGCGACGCCGCGUGAGGGAUGACGGCCUUCGGGUUGUAAACCUCUUUCAGUAGGGAAGAAGCGAAAGUGACGGUACCGGCAGAAGAAGCACCGGCUAACUACGUG
rnacentral:rRNA from 1 species